rnacentral:rRNA from 1 species
ACGGGAGGCAGCAGUGGGGAAUAUUGGGCAAUGGGGGAAACCCUGAUGCAGCGACGCCGCGUGAAGGAAGAAGUAUCUCGGUAUGUAAACUUCUAUCAGCAGGGAAGAUAAUGACGGUACCUGACUAAGAAGCCCCGGCUAACUACGUGCCAGCAGCCGCGGUAAUACGUAGGGGGCAAGCGUUAUCCGGAUUUACUGGGUGUAAAGGGAGCGUAGACGGACCAGCAAGUCUGAUGUGAAAGGCAGGGGCGCAACUCCUGGACUGCAUUGGAAACUGUUGGUCUUGAGUGCCGGAGGGGUAAGCGGAAUUCCUAGUGUAGCGGUGAAAUGCGUAGAUAUUAGGAGGAACACCAGUGGCGAAGGCGGCUUACUGGACGGUAACUGACGUUGAGGCUCGAAAGCGUGGGGAGCAAACAGGAUUAGAUACCCUGGUA